rnacentral:rRNA from 1 species
GACGAACGCUGGCGGCGUGCUUAACACAUGCAAGUCGAACGGAAAGGCCCUGCUUUUGUGGGGUGCUCGAGUGGCGAACGGGUGAGUAACACGUGAGUAACCUGCCCUUGACUUUGGGAUAACUUCAGGAAACUGGGGCUAAUACCGGAUAGGAGCUCCUGCUGCAUGGUGGGGGUUGGAAAGUGUCGGCGUUUGGGGAUGGACUCGCGGCUUAUCAGCUGGUUGGUGGGGUAGUGGCUUACCAAGGCUUUGACGGGUAGCCCGCCUGAGAGGGUGACCGGCCACAUUGGGACUGAGAUACGGCCCAGACUCGUACGGGAGGCAGCAGUGGGGAAUAUGGCACAAUGGGCGGAAGCCUGAUGCAGCAACGCCGCGUGCGGGAUGACGGCCUUCGGGUUGUAAACCGCUUUCGCCUGUGACGAAGCGUGAGUGACGGUAAUGGGUAAAGAAGCACCGGCUAACUACGUG